rnacentral:tRNA from 1 species
GGUUCGGUAGUUCAGUUGGUUAGAAUGCCGCCCUGUCACGGCGGAGGUCGCGGGUUCGAGUCCCGUCCGGACCGCGA